AUUUUGGACAAUGGGCGCAAGCCUGAUCCAGCCAUGCCGCGUGAGUGAAGAAGUCCUUCGGGUUGUAAAGCUCUUUCGGAGGAAAAGAAAUCGCGCAGGCUAAUACCCUGCGCGGUCGCCAGUACCGCCAUAAGAAGCACCACCAAACUACGUGCCACCACCCGCGGUAAUACGUAGGGUGCGAGCGUUAAUCGGAAUUACUGGGCGUAAAGCGUGCGCAGGCGGUUGAUUAAGACAGGCGUGAAAUCCCCGGGCUUAACCUGGGAACUGCGCUUGUGACUGGUCAGCUAGAGUACGGCAGAGGGGGGUGGAAUUCCACGUGUAGCAGUGAAAUGCGUAGAGAUGUGGAGGAACACCGAUGGCGAAGGCAGCCCCCUGGGCCGAUACUGACGCUCAUGCACGAAAGCGUGGGUAGCAAACAGG
rnacentral:rRNA from 1 species